GACGAACGCUGGCGGCGUGCUUAACACAUGCAAGUCGAACGGUGAAGCUCCAGCUUGCUGGAGUGGAUCAGUGGCGAACGGGUGAGUAACACGUGAGCAACCUGCCCCAGACUCUGGAAUAAGCGCUGGAAACGGCGUCUAAUACUGGAUACGAGAUCAAGCCGCAUGGUUAUGGUCUGGAAAGUUUUUCGGUUUGGGAUGGGCUCGCGGCCUAUCAGCUUGUUGGUGAGGUAAUGGCUCACCAAGGCGACGACGGGUAGCCGGCCUGAGAGGGCGACCGGCCACACUGGGACUGAGACACGGCCCAGACUCCUACGGGAGGCAGCAGUGGGGAAUAUUGCACAAUGGGCGAAGGCCUGAUGCAGCGACGCCGCGUGAGGGAUGACGGCCUUCGGGUUGUAAACCUCUUUCAGCAGGGAAGAAGCGAAAGUGACGGUACCUGCAGAAGAAGCACCGGCUAACUACGUG
rnacentral:rRNA from 1 species